rnacentral:rRNA from 1 species
AACGAACGCUGGCGGCAGGCCUAACACAUGCAAGUCGAGGGGUAGAACACUUCGGUGUUUGAGACCGGCGCACGGGUGCGUAACGCGUAUGCAAUCUACCUUGUACAGGGGAAUAGCCCAGAGAAAUUUGGAUUAAUGCCCCAUAGUAUAUAACCUUCGCAUGUUGGUUAUAUUAAAGUUCCAACGGUACAAGAUGAGCAUGCGUCCCAUUAGUUAGUUGGUAAGGUAACGGCUUACCAAGACGAUGAUGGGUAGGGGUCCUGAGAGGGAGAUCCCCCACACUGGUACUGAGACACGGACCAGACUCCUACGGGAGGCAGCAGUGAGGAAUAUUGGUCAAUGGGCGCAAGCCUGAACCAGCCAUGCCGCGUGCAGGAAGACGGUCCUAUGGAUUGUAAACUGCUUUUAUACAGGAAGAAACAACUCUACGUGUAGAGUCUUGACGGUACUGUAGGAAUAAGGAUCGGCUAACUCCGUGCCAGCAGCCGCGGUAAGAC